rnacentral:sRNA from 1 species
AGGCACAGGCUGCAUGUGAUUGUGGAUGAGGUCUACAUGCUGUCCGUGUUUGAGAAGUCUGUUGGGUACCGCAGUGUCCUAAGCCUGGAAAGGCUGCCUGACCCCCAGAGGACCCAUGUGAUGUGGGCAACCAGCAAGGACUUCGGGAUGUCUGGGCUCCGCUUUGGCACGCUGUACACAGAAAACCAGGAUGUGGCCACUGCCGUGGCUUCCCUCUGCCGCUACCACGGCCUCAGUGGCUUGGUCCAGUACCAGAUGGCGCAGCUGCUCCGGGACCGUGAUGAGGAAAAUGAGGACCAGAUACUACCCCACUCACUAUAGUAGCUAAAAGUUUUAAAAAUAGUGACAACAUCAAGUGUUGACAAAGAUAAGGAGCAGCUGGAAGUCUCAUACACUG